CCUACGGGAGGCUGCAGUGGGGAAUAUUGCACAAUGGAGGAAACCCUGAUGCAGCGACGCCGCGUGAGUGAUGAAGGAUUUCGGUAUGGAAAGCUCUAUCAGCAGGGGAGAAAAUGACGGUACCUGAUUAAGAAUCCCCGGCUAACUACGUGCCAGCAGCCGCGGUAAUACGUCGGGGGCAAGCGUUAUCCGGAGUUACUGGGUGUAAAGGGAGCGUAGACGGCAGCACAAGUCAGGAGUGAAAUGCCGGGGCUUAACCCCGGAACUGCAUUGGAAACUGUGCAGCUAGAGUGCAGGAGAGGUAAGCGGAAUUCGUAGUGUAGCGGUGAAAUGCGUAGAUAUUAGGAGGAACACCAGUGGCGAAGGCGGCUUACUGGACUGUAACUGACGCUGAGGCUCGAAAGCGUGGGGAGCAAACAGGAUUAGAUACCCCUGUAGUC
rnacentral:rRNA from 1 species